UACGAAGGGGGCUAGCGUUGCUCGGAACCACUGGGCGUAAAGGGUGCGUAGGCGGGUCUUUAAGUCAGGGGUGAAAUCCUGGAGCUCAACUCCAGAACUGCCUUUGAUACUGAGGAUCUUGAGUCCGGGAGAGGUGAGUGGAACUGCGAGUGUAGAGGUGAAAUUCGUAGAUAUUCGCAAGAACACCAGUGGCGAAGGCGGCUCACUGGCCCGAUACUGACGCUGAGGCACGAAAGCGUGGGGAGCAAACAGG
rnacentral:rRNA from 1 species